CAAUGGCGUAUAUUAAAGUUGUUGCAGUUAAAAAGCUCGUAGUUGGAUUUCUGGUGGGAGCGAUCGGUCUGGCGCUUAGCGCGAGUACUUGCAUCGUCUCCGGCCAUCCUUGGGGAGAGUCUGUCUGGCAUUAAGUUGUCGGGCAGAGGAUCCUCAUCGUUUACUGUGAAAAAAUUAGAGUGUUCAAAGCAGGCUUAUGCCGUUGAAUAUAUUAGCAUGGAAUAAUAAGAUAGGACUUUGGUACUAUUUUGUUGGUUUGCGCACCAAAGUAAUGAUUAAUAGGGACAGUUGGGGGUAUUCGUAUUCCGUUGUCAGAGGUGAAAUUCUUGGAUUUACGGAAGACGAACUACUGCGAAAGCAUUUACCAAGGAUGUUUUCAUUAG
rnacentral:rRNA from 1 species